rnacentral:lncRNA from 1 species
CCGGGCAGAUGGAGACUCUGGCCGGACGACGUAGUACCUCUCCUUGAAAUCCUUAACGGAGUCUACGAACAUCUUGAAGAGUUUUACAUCCUCGUGAUGCUUCAGCGAAACCCAAUUUUGACGAGGUGCUCGUCCUACUUCCUUUGUCGGCUUGCGCUGAAUUUUAAAGAUCCUAAAGAAGAGGGGAAGGCUGGGACGAACACCUUUGUACACGCAGAGACGCUCGAACCCCAUUAUAAAUGACCAGGAGUUAGGGUGCAGCUGCGACGGAGCCACCUGCAAGGCUUUGAGUACACUGGCCGCAAAAAGGCUGAACGGCAGUCUAAGCCCCAUCUCCUUAAAAACAAACUCGUACAUAGCAAAGUCGUGCCCGGCAAAAGACGAGCACACCCGUUCAUUCUCCCCGGGUAGACGAGUCGACCAAUGUUGGGGCUCGUUUGCCCUCCGCUGCUCGACAGUGGUAUAUAAUCUAGGAUCCUUGAGAGUAAGCGCCGAAGCUAUUCCCCG